UAAUGAAGGCUUUUUUUAAGAUA
rnacentral:snRNA from 1 species